AAAGAGGCCCGAAACUAAAAUAACGGCCUAAAAAAUUCAAAAACAAAGAAAUAAAAUAUCGUAUUUCAGCCUCUCCAGUCUUCCUCCUCCUCCAUUUCAUCUUCAAUCUGGUUCUCUCAUCUUUUCAUUUUCCUUCAGAUUCUCAGCAUACUCAAGGAUUUUUCCUACCAGCAAUUGCUUCUGCAGCAAAAGCCGAUGCGACUUGGUGAUGAAUCUCUGUAAAUGAUAAGAGAACAUUUCCUUCACUAUCUCUGGCCACAAUCUCCACAGCCGAUUGAUAAAGGUUCCCAUCAUAUGCUACAUCGAAACUAAUCUUCACAAACUGAUCAGUUCUGUUGGCCUUCCCAUGAACUCUCUUGUUCCUUUCUCCUCAAAUUGCCCAAAGAGCGCAGCAAAAGAUCCUACAUUAAAGGAAUUAUUCUGUUCAAAAACCCAGGACACUCGCGGAAUAGAUGAUUCAUGGUUUCUGUUGCUCUUCCACACCCAAGACAGAUUGUAUUGUUUGAGAGCCUUCUAUGUAGCAAGUUAACCCGUAUAGGUAGAUAAUUCCAUGAUAUUCCCAAACUGUAAUUUUGAUCUUAGAAGGUAGAUUAAGUAGCCAAAGAUUUUUGUAAAAUUUCCUAUAGUCAGUUUGUAAAGCAUAAGAUCUAGGAUCAAUUUCAAUGCCCUAUAAUAGUUUAUAGGCACUACACACCGUGAAUUCUACCGAAGGCUCCCCUCUCUAGGCUAGAAAAUCAUCGUGGGGCUCUUUUGCUAACGGAAUGCAGAGAAUCUUCUCGGCUACAUCCACCGGAAAGGUAGAAGCUAUCAACUCUUUUUUCCAUUUUUUGCAACUAUCAUCAAUU